ACUUUUAAAGGAUAAUAGCCAUCCAUUGAUUUUAGAGGUCAAAUAUCUUGGUGCAAGUCCAAGUGAAAGUU
rnacentral:tRNA from 2 species